AUUGAACGCUGGCGGCAGGCUUAACACAUGCAAGUCGAGCGGGGAAAGGUAGCUUGCUACCUUACCUAGCGGCGGACGGGUGAGUAAUGCUUAGGAAUCUGCCUAUUAGUGGGGGACAACAUUUCGAAAGGAAUGCUAAUACCGCAUACGCCCUACGGGGGAAAGCAGGGGACCUUCGGGCCUUGCGCUAAUAGAUGAGCCUAAGUCGGAUUAGCUAGUUGGUGGGGUAAAGGCCUACCAAGGCGACGAUCUGUAGCGGGUCUGAGAGGAUGAUCCGCCACACUGGGACUGAGACACGGCCCAGACUCCUACGGGAGGCAGCAGUGGGGAAUAUUGGACAAUGGGGGGAACCCUGAUCCAGCCAUGCCGCGUGUGUGAAGAAGGCCUUUUGGUUGUAAAGCACUUUAAGCGAGGAGGAGGAGCUCUAGAUUAAUACUCUAGAUGCUUGGACGUUACUCGCAGAAUAAGCACCGGCUAACUCUGUGCCAGCAGCCGCGGUAAUACAGAGGGUGCAAGCGUUAAUCGGAUUUACUGGGCGUAAAGCGUGCGUAGGUGGUCUUUUAAGUCGGAUGUGAAAUCCCUGAGCUUAACUUAGGAAUUGCAUUCGAUACUGGGAGACUAGAGUAUGGGAGAGGAUGGUAGAAUUCCAGGU
rnacentral:rRNA from 1 species